UACAGAGGUGGCAAGCGUUGUUCGGAAUUACUGGGCGUAAAGGGCGCGUAGGCGGCCUUCUAAGUCAGACGUGAAAUCCCCCGGCUUAACCUGGGAACUGCGUCUGAUACUGGGAGGCUAGAGUGCGGGAGAGGGAUGCGGAAUUCCAGGUGUAGCGGUGAAAUGCGUAGAUAUCGAGAGGAACACCUGCGGCGAAGGCGGCGAUCUGGGAAGAUACUGACGCUGAGGUGCGAAAGCGUGGGGAGCAAACAGG
rnacentral:rRNA from 1 species